UGCAGUCGAGCGGACCGACGGGAGCUUGCUCCCUUAGGUCAGCGGCGGACGGGUGAGUAACACGUGGGUAACCUGCCUGUAAGACUGGGAUAACUCCGGGAAACCGGGGCUAAUACCGGAUGCUUGAUUGAACCGCAUGGUUCAAUUCUAAAAGGGGGCUUUUAACUUCCACUUUCAGAUGGACCCGCGGCGCAUUAACUAGUUGGGGAGGUAACGGCUCACCAAGGGGACAAUGCCUAACCAAACUGAAAGGGUGAUCGGCCACACUGGGACUGAAACACAGGCCAAACUCCUACGGGAGGGUGAACUACGGAAUCUUCCCCAAUGGACGAAAGUCUGACCGAACGACGCCCCGUGUAUGAUGAAUGCUUUCAGAUCCGAAAAUUCUGUUGUUCAGGAACAACAAAUACCGUUCGAAUAUGGCGGCGCCUUGACGGGACCUAACCGAAAAGCCACGGCUAACUACAUGC
rnacentral:rRNA from 2 species